rnacentral:rRNA from 1 species
GAUGAACGCUGGCGGCGUGCCUAAUACAUGCAAGUCGAGCGAACAGAUAAGGAGCUUGCUCCUUUGACGUUAGCGGCGGACGGGUGAGUAACACGUGGAUAACCUACCUAUAAGACUGGGAUAACUUCGGGAAACCGGAGCUAAUACCGGAUAACAUAUUGAACCGCAUGGUUCAAUAGUGAAAGGCGGCUUUGCUGUCACGUAUAGAUGGAUCCGCGCCGUAUUAGCUAGUUGGUAAGGUAACGGCUUACCAAGGCAACGAUACGUAGCCGACCUGAGAGGGUGAUCGGCCACACUGGAGCUGAGACGCGGUCCAGACUCCUACGGGAGGCAGCAGUAGGGAAUCUUCCGCAAUGGGCGAAAGCCUGACGGAGCAACGCCACGUGAGUGAUGAAGGUCUUCGGAUCGUAAAACUCUGUUAUCAGGGAAGAACAAAUGUGUAAGUAACUGUGCACAUCUUGACGGUACCUGAUCAGAAAGCCACGGCUAACUACGUG